rnacentral:rRNA from 1 species
AUUGAACGCUGGCGGCAUGCUUUACACAUGCAAGUCGAACGGUAACAGGUUAAGCUGACGAGUGGCGAACGGGUGAGUAAUGCAUCGGAACGUGCCCGGUCGUGGGGGAUAACGCAGCGAAAGCUGCGCUAAUACCGCAUACGCUCUGAGGAUGCAAGCGGCGGACCGUCGGGCCUCGCGCGAUCGGAGCGGCCGAUGUCAGAUUAGGUAGUUGGGGGGGUAAAGGCUCACCAAGCCGACGAUCUGUAGCUGGGCUGAGAGGACGACCAGCCACACUGGGACUGGGACACGGCCCAGACUCCUACGGGAGGCAGCAGUGGGGAAUUUUGGACAAUGGGCGCAAGCCUGAUCCAGCAAUGCCGCGUGCAGGAAGAAGGCCUUCGGGUUGUAAACUGCUUUUGUACGGAGCGAAAAGGCUCUCUCUAAUACAGGGGGCUCAUGACGGUACCGUAAGAAUAAGCACCGGCUAACUACGUGCCAGCAGCCGCAGUAA